rnacentral:lncRNA from 1 species
UGACUGACGGAACCAGUCCUAAAAAUCCCACGGAAUCUAAGCGACUCUGAUGGACGGCCUCCCAAUAUGUAAUGAUGGACGGGCGACUCUACAAAAGGUCGUUCUCCCUUUCCUUGCUAAGGUGCCUGGGACUGACGGAUGCGGACUACGCACUCAGAGAGGUGCACGAAGGGAUCUGCGGAGUCACUUGGAGGGCAAAUCCUUGGCCUACAAAGUCCUACGGCAAGGUUACUAUUGGCCC